CGGCCAUUCUUAAUGAGAAGAAUUAGACUGAAAAAAGAACAGUUAUUGACGUAUAUCUUUAGCAUGGUAAGUGCCAACUAAGCAUCCUUGUAGGCCUUCAAGCACGUAAAAUGCAUUGCCUAACUUUUCCCGAUCGGAAGACCAC